rnacentral:rRNA from 1 species
GUGGGGAAUAUUGCACAAUGGGCGAAAGCCUGAUGCAGCAACGCCGCGUGAAGGAAGAAGGGUUUCGGCUCGUAAACUUCUAUCAACAGGGACGAAAAAAAUGACGGUACCUGAAUAAGAAGCCCCGGCUAACUACGUGCCAGCAGCCGCGGUAAUACGUAGGGGGCAAGCGUUAUCCGGAAUUACUGGGUGUAAAGGGAGAGUAGGCGGCAUGGUAAGUUAGAUGUGAAAGCCCGAGGCUUAACCUCGGGAUUGCAUUUAAAACUAUCAAGCUAGAGUACAGGAGAGGUAAGUGGAAUUCCUAGUGUAGCGGUGAAAUGCGUAGAUAUUAGGAAGAACACCAGUGGCGAAGGCGACUUACUGGACUGAAACUGACGCUGAGGCUCGAAAGCGUGGGGAGCGAACAGGAUUAGAAACCCCAGUAGUCC